AGUCUGUGAUGAAGAAGUAACUGUGCCAGAGGCGAGUCAUCUGUUGUGCUCGUCGCUGAUGGCUCACUUAUCCUCUAAGAAGUUCUGAGCUC